CUUGCCGCCGGCGACCGGCGCACGGGUGAGUAACACGUAUGCAACCUGGCCGUGACAGAUGGAUAACCGGGAGAAACCCCGCCUAAUACAACAUAAUGCCGGGAGGGGACAUCCCCUGCCGGUCAAAGGGGGCGACCCCGGUCACGGAUGGGCAUGCGGCGCAUUAGGUAGUUGGUGGGGCAACGGCCCACCAAGCCGACGAUGCGUAGGGGUUCUGAGAGGAAGGUCCCCCACAUUGGAACUGAGACACGGUCCAAACUCCUACGGAAGGCAGCAG
rnacentral:rRNA from 1 species